rnacentral:rRNA from 1 species
GGAUGCGAUCAUACCAGCACUAAAGCACCGGAUCCCAUCAGAACUCUGAAGUUAAGCGUGCUUGGGCGAGAGUAGUACUAGGACGAGGACCUCCUCGGAAGUCCUCGUGUUGCAUUCC